AAGAUAUGAAACUUGGAAACCUGACAUUACCUGCUGGAGUGGAGGUUUUCUUACCAAUUCUUUUGAUUCAUCAUGACUGCAAACUAUGGGGCGAUGAUGCUAAAAUGUUCAAUCCUGAGAGAUUUUCCGGAGGAAUUUCUAAAGCAACAAAUGGUAGAGUUUCAUUUUUUCCAUUUGGAUGGGGUCCAAGAAUUUGCAUUGGACAAAACUUUUCCCUAAUGGAAGCAAAGAUGGCAUUGUCAAUGAUUUUGCAACAUUUUUCAUUUGAACUUUCCUCAACCUAUGCUCAUGCUCCAUCAACUGUGAUUACUCUUCAGCCACAAUAUGGUGCUCAUAUUAUUAUACGCAAAGUGGAAACAUAAAAACCUAAUCAUAGUAUGCUCUUAAGGUGUAAAUUUUAUCAUAUAGUAUUAUUGUCCAAAAACUUCAUAUUCUAUUAUAGUACUAUUGUCCAAAAACUUCAUAUUAUAAUUAAUAAGACGAGUCUCAUAGGUGCCUUCAUGUUUUCUUUCAGUUAGAUAUAAAUAUAAAUAUAAAUUGAUUUUUUGUUUGGAUAAAUUUGAUAAAUAUAUUAGUUUUCAAUAAGUUUGUAGGGAUUAAGGUUAAAUUCUUCUUAUAAAAAUCCUUUAAGUUUGAUUGAAUCCCUUUUCUAUUUAUUUUGAUGUUUUGUCUUCGAGAGUUGAAGAAUGAAAGUAUGUUAUAGGGACUGUGUUGGUAGUAGGACUGCUCAAAAUGAAUUUUAUUAGCAACAUAUUCUCCAACGCACUUUUUAAUACACGGUAUCUAAUAAGUUGAUAUUCAAAUGAUUCCUACUAAAUCUACAUGAAACGUUAUUAAAAAAAAAAUAUACAUGAAACUUUUAUAAGUUAAUGUCACACAUUUGAAUUUCAACCAAUUAAAAAAAAAAGAUUGUUGAAAAAUCAUGUUAAAGAGUAUGUUGUUCACUACGCUAGAAAACAUUAGGAAAAAAAAAAAGGAGACAUGAAAGAAAUAAGCUUAAUUACACUUUUAAUCUUUGGAGCAGAUUAAAAUAGUUUACGAGCAUUGUUUAUGAAAGAUUGCCCUUUUGCAUAUUACAUACAUUUGUUUUGCUCAUAGAUUACAAUUUGUAUUGGUCACUGCAUCAAGAGAAGCUUACUUUUAUUGUCAAUGUUGUUUGUUCUUCUCCUAAGCGCCAUGAAUUUGUUAACUCUAAGUUGUGCUUUGACUCCUAAGGAUAGUUAUAAACCUUUUGAUGUUGAUACUAUUGGGUGCCAGAGUAGCAAAAUAUUAUCACGCAGCUAAAAUAAGAGACGAGAAAAGACGAACUGAACACACAUAUUUUCGUUGAAACCCCUCAACAAAUAAGGGAAAAAAAUCACAGGGCGAGAGUAGAGAACUUUUCACUAAGUGGAAGAAAUUACAAGACCUCUUUCUAUAUACAAGGAGAGACAAAUUACCCUCUAUGUUGAAAUAGGAGAAUAUUAACACUAGGAGAAAUCUCACAGGAGAAACUAUAUUUCCUCUCUAUAUUGUUCCUCUCACUCACAACAAGCUUUAAUUCUUGUUGUUCUGUUACUACUUGAUGGAAUGGGGUAGUGAAAUUGUGCAAAUGAGCUGGCUAUUUAUAAGAGAGGUAAGCCAUAGUUCCUUACAUGCAACAAACUACUUGUCUUCCAUGUAAAAUUUGUGCAACAUGUCACUUACAUCUCAUGCAUCUUGCAACUUGUCAAUAUAUGUAACCAUUCAUUUUGCCACUAUGCAUUACAUGCGAAAUGCAACUUAUCUUACAUGCACCAUGAACAUGUAUCUUGCUACAAAAGUGGUUUUAGCAAUCACAAUAUUGGAUUUGGAUCAUAAUUUGGGCCAAUUUCAUUCAUAAGCUUGGGUUUUAUCACAACUUGAGUCCAUAUCAUUCACAAAUACUAUUUGCACUCUUUUUCUAAAAAUGCUAUCCCAUGAAUUUCAAUGAAAAAGAUAAUGAUAACCUGUGUUAUCAACUAUAGCAAUUCAUUGGUGAUGCCAUAAAGAAUCAAGUUCAAAAAAUUUAUCAACAAUAAUACUCAUGUUUGAUUGCAACUAAGAUGAAUAAAAUUUACUUUUUGAUUGAUAAACCACUUCGUCUUAUCACGACUCUUCCAGUUUCUACAAUCACAACUUAGAUAUUUUUCAGCAAAGAAGAUUAUGAAGACUAGAUUGAGAAAUAAGAUGGGAAAUGAGUUUCUAAAUUAUAGCAUAACAGUUUAUAUCGAAAAGGAAAUUAGUGCAAGUAUCAGUUCUGAGUUGGUUAUUGUUAAUUUUAAGUUAGUUGGAUCGCAUAAAGAAUUAUUUUAAUUUUUAAAAAUAUGUAGUUUUAUUUUUUGAUGAACAAUUUUGUGCUUAGAAAUAGAAUUAUGUUUAUAUAUUAGAGUUUAUUCGGCUAGCUCACCCUUUCAAAUCCAAAUGUUGCAGUUGCUUGUUAUAAGACCCACAUCUGGUAAAAGUGAUGGGCUCAUUUGUAAAAAUUCUGGAAUUUUGCUCUCCCAUGCACAAAACACUCGCAUCCUGCAGCCAUGUCUAAAAUAAUCCUGCGUGAGUUAAGUCACGAUGCGUGACUUAACUCACACACCUUAAUUUUACAUGUGCGCGACUUAAGUCAUGCCGCAUGAGUUAACUCACGCAGGUGUUACACCCCGCAUGAGUUAACUCAGCAUUUCAAACUGUACUAGGGUGAGUUAACUCACGCGGGAUGUAACACCUGCGUGAGUUAACUCAUGCCGUGACUUAAGUCACGCAUGUAUAAAAUUAAGGUGUGUGAGUUAAGUCACGCAACAUGACUUAACUCACGCAGGGUCAUUUUAAGCAUGGCAGCAGGGCGCGAAUGUUUUGUGCAGGGGAAGAGCAAAAUUCAAAAUUUUGUAGUGUCAAUUUUAGAGGACCAAUAAAAUCAAAUCAUUGAAUAAUAUUUUUGAUUUUUUUAAUACAAAAGAUUGAAUAAUAAUAUCUUCGUGAACACGUAAUUCAUAUUUCAAAUAACUCCACCGAAAAGCAACAUGAUUUAAGGAUGCUAUCACUUUCCAAGUCUCUUCAAUAGCGACAACAAAGGAAACAAGUUAUUUUGGUUUUUGUUGCUGAUACCCAAAGCAAAGAGAAAGAAAGGAGCAACAUUUUUCUCACUCUUGUUUUGUCCCAACACAAUUAUCAUAGAUAUAAAGAAAAAGAGAAAGUGAACCCCACUUUAGAAUUUGAGGACAAAAUUAAGGGGAACAAGAAGAGAUUUUGAAUAAAAAGUGGUGCCAGAAUAUCCAACUAAAAUGGAAAAGUUAAUGAUAGAGUGUUAAGGAGUUUAACAAUUCCAACUUCACUUUCAACAUGGUAAGGAGUAUUAACUUUCAUCGUUAAAAUAAAUACUUUAAUAAUAUAUGUAGUGUUUUUUUUCUUCUUCUUAAAGAAUGUAGUGUGAUGUUUUCUUUUUAAACUAAAUAUUGAAAAAAAAUUAGACAAAAGAAUGAAACAUUUUUACUUUCACUUAUAAAAAUCAAAUAAAAAAUAUCUUUUUAAUAUUUUAAUUUCUUCUACUUUAUUUUUUUUAUUUAUCUUUAAAAAUUAAAUGAAGCUCUUUUAUAUAUGGAUAUAGAGAAGAGUGUUUACAGAAUCAUCAUAUAUCUUUACUUUUUGCAUGCCAACUUUGUUGAAUUGUUACGAAUCCUUUUUCUCUUAGUUCUUUUCUGGUAUUUCUUAUGCUCAAAGAUUAAGAUUUUAGUUUCUUAAAAAAAGUGAAUUUUAUCCAAUGAUAUUGAUAUAUAGUUAUUUGUGAAACUUAUUUGUAAUAUUUUUAUGAGGUGUUUGGUUAGAGAAAUUUAUACAUCCUCCAAUUACUAUAAUAAGUAAAUUGAUUUUUGCUUAUAACAAUAACAGGAUAAUGUAAGUGUUUAUCAAGAUACGUUGAUAUGGGAAAUGAAUUGUCUCAAUUGAACAAAAUUUUAAGAAAAUAAUGUAGAUAUCUUAACCACUGAUCUCUACAUUAUUAAUGCCCAGUAUUAAAGCUAGAUAUAUUUUUUUUUAUUGGUAGAUAUUAAUUAUUGAUAACGUGGAGAUCAACCAUAAAAUCUUCAUAUUAUUCCCUCAAUUUUUUUUCUUUCAAUUGAGACAAUCCACAAUUCUUCGGAUAAUGCUUUAUUUUAUUUUAUUUUAUUUUUAAAAAUAAAAUGAUAUUCAUUUAUUCAAAUUGAUCGAGUACAUCAGAUAUAAAUAUCGCAAAAAAUGUAAAGGAUGAAUCUGCGAACAAACUUACAACACCUAAGUUAAUGACAUACGACGGCAAAAUGCCUACAAAUAAUAUGAUAAAAUCUAAGUCACUAAAAAUCAAAUACUCAUGCUUUCGGAUCUGCAACGUUGACGCCCAAAUCAUUGAUUGAAUUUGUAAUUGACUGAAGUUGAUCUUUCAAUAGGAACUAAACGAACACCGCGACACGAUGCAAAAUCAAAUGCCGCACAAGACGAAGAACAACACAAUGUCGCACUUAGACGACGAAAUAAAAAAAAAAACACAGAAGAAAAAUUUUGAUAUAUGUGAAAAACACUUAUUUAGAUUAAAAGAAAAAGAAAAAAAAGAUGUAGAUGGAGUGAUUUUAGGUCAAAAAAUGAUCUAAAACCACCUCUUCUCGAUGAAUGAAGGAGAAAAAAAAAAGUUAAGUGUAUCUAUGGCUAGAAAACUAAGACGAGCAAAGAGCGGUAUGGAUAAUGCUUAAAUUUAUUAUAUCCAUUUAAACCAACUUUUAAUUUCACUCUAUUUAUUUUCUGAAAAACGAAAAGAUCUUUUGUGAGGCAAAAGUGAAGUGAGAUAUUUUGAGAGGCAAAAGCAACGUGAAUUAAUAUUUUUGGAAGUAUAUAUAAGUCAUUAAAGUGCUGAAGAUGAAACAAACAACCCCUUAAAUCAUUCAUAGAUCUAGUUCUCUUUCCUUAACACCUUUACUUUAUCUCUGCCCAUUUUCUUCUCCCACAAAGAAUGAUGAUGGGAGUAUCUUCAACAACUGCAACAUUCUUUCUCAUAGUUGCACCUUUGGUGCUUCUAUGGACAUGGAAGCUACUGAAUUGGCUAUGGCUAAGGCCAAAGAGAAUAGAGAAGGUACUGAGAGCACAAGGCCUUCAAGGCAGUCCAUACAAAAUUUUGGUUGGAGACACAAGGGAGAUGAUUAAGAUGAUGAUGGAAAAUGCUAAAUCUCCAAUAUUCACUAAUUCUCUUUCAGAUGAUAAAGAUGUGACACCACACAUCUUCACAUUUAUUCAUCACAUUUAUCAAAAAUUUGGUACGCAUCUUAAUUUCCACUACUAUUAGGAUUUCAAUUUUAUUUUAUACCAUCCACCGUUUCAUCAAUUUUCUUUCUCAUCAUUUUUUUUUUUUUAAUAAUUUAGUGGUUAGAGUUCACACAUUUCAAAUGUGGAGAAGUUGGAUGUCCGCUGAAUUUGGAUCCUUGGCAGCCAAAUUCUCUGCUGCCAUACACCAACCCUUAGAUCCAUUUCGCUUAAAAUGUUAAAAGCGCAUUAAAAUCUGUUUUCAAGGCCGCACAUAUUUAUUGUUUUCAAUAUACAUACUCCUGCACAUAUUAAAUAAUAUAUCUCGUAUUCAAACUUUCUUUGUUGAUAAAAUAUUCACAAUGUUAAGAAUAAUUAAAAAUAUCCCUAAAAAAAAAGACUAAGUAAAAUACAUGUUCCCAUAGGACAUCAAAUAAUAAAAAAAAAUAGUAUACUUUUUUGACAAAAAAAAAAUAAUAUAUAUUCUCUCCGUCUUUAUAUAUAAGCAUCCAUUUGAUUAAAAAUUUGUCCCUAAACAUAGACCUUUUUUUACAUUAUUAGAUGCAUUUUUCUUCUUCUUUAAACAUACCCUUAAAUCCUAAUUAGUACUACUAACUUACCUUAAAAUAUGAAAAAUUAAAUUUAAUACACAUACAAACAAAAUAUAUUAUAGUAAACAGGAAUCUAAGUCAUGUUCUCCUGAAUAAUUUGUGUUUGGUGAAUGUAUUAACCACCGGAGCUCAACUGAAUUGUUUGGUUAAAUGAAGAUGAAGUAUGUGAAUAAGUAAAAUAGUGUUUUUUAUAAGUUAAUUCAAGUAGGUUAUAGUUUAAAGUUUGUAGGUUAAAGAUUAUAGCUAUUCACUUUUAUCUCAAUUUUACCCCUACAAUCUUAAUUGAGAAAAUAUUAACCAAUACACAUUUUUUUAUGUCAUUUCAUAUUUAUAAUAUUUAUACGCUAAUCCCACCUCUAAUUUUAUGAAACAUUACAAAAUUAAUAUUAGCACCAAAUUAAAACCUGGUUUGAUAAAAAAAAAAUAAUACGUAAAGGUGUACUAUACAAUAUACAUUAUACAAAGCCAAAUUUCCCUCAAAAAAAAAAAAUUAUACAAAGCCAAAUUAAAAUAGUAGUUUGAGCGAAAAUAAUUACUUUACACCAUUGAAUGCAGUGUUUUUUCUUUUUCAAUGAGCUAUUGAUAUUUGAUAGCAGUUUAGCCGAAUCUGAACAAUAACAAGUGGAUCCAACGGCUGAUGUAAGGCAGCAGGAUGGCAGCAGGAUGGCAGCAGAGAGUUUGGCUGCCGAGAAUCCAAAUCCGUGUCCGCUCUCUGGGGAUUGAACCCGGCCCCUACAUAUAAUAUACAAUAUCUUUAUCUUUAUCAACUGAGUUAAUUAAUUGUACAUAUAUAUGGGAAUAUAUCAAGUGAGGCCUUUUAGAGAUUACAUAAUUUCUCUUGUAACUUUGCUAAUAGAAGUGGUAAUUGAGUUGCUCAUAGGCUAUUACACAACCCACUUAUAUUUGGUACAAUGUUCCUGCUAUAUUGAGUUGCUCAUAUGUUUCUGCUUUAAUCCAUGAGCCACCCAUCCCAAUUCUACAUUUUUACUUGAUGAAAGAGUCCAUGUAUGGAAAUAACUUAUGAUGUCAUAUUUCUAUUUAUUUUCUCUGUAUAUUAUAAGUACUAAAAAUACAUAUCUAAAUGUGAAAAUCACAUGUAUUUAGUUGAACUCAAACUCAUUUGAUUGAGGUCACUCUCUGUAUAGUCCUUGAACAGUUUGUGAUAUAUAACAAAAAUUAUUUGUAGGCAAGAAUUCUUUUUUAUGGGAAGGUACAAAUGCCAAAGUGAUCAUUACAAACCCUGAGCAAAUUAAGGAAAUCUUCAACAACAUGAAUGACUUUCAGAAACCGAAGUUGAGCCCCCUUUACAAGCUACUGGGAACAGGACUUGCAAAUUAUGAAGGCGAAAAAUGGCGGAUGCAUCGAAAGAUUAUCAACCCUGCUUUCUACACAGAAAAAUUGAAGGUUAUAUAAAUACUAAUUCCAUUGACUAUGUUGUUAUAAAUUUAAUUUCUUAGUAAUAUCUACGAAAGAAUUAAAUUAGUGACAAAAAUAAGAGACUAAAAAUAGAUUUUGUAUCCAAUUCUCUCGUCAUUAAAUUUAAUGACAUGGAAUUGUUUCUUGUCGAUAAUUUUUCUCGCAAAUUCAAACUUUUAGUAGGAUAUUAAGCAAGAACUUUAGAAUACAUAUUAUAAAACAUGGUUUACUUGAUUUACUCCAUAUACCAAGUUUAUCACUCUUGUUAUGUUUUCAUAUGCUGCAGAUUAUGUCACCUAUAUUUUCCCAAAGUUGUGAUGAAAUGAUUAGAAAAUGGGAAGAUAUAUCUUCAGAUGGAAAGUUCGAAAUCGAUGCAAAGACUUUUCUCCAGAUUUUGACGUGUGAUGUCAUAUCGAAAACAGCGUUUGGAAGCAAUUAUGAAGAAGGACAAAGAAUAUUUGAACUACUAAAAGAACAAGCUCAACUUAUUAUGAAAUUACGCAACGUUUACAUUCCAGGAUGGAGGUAAGACCAAAAACUGACGGAAUGAUCUUGAAUUUUUAAGUCUGGAAUGAUCUUUUUGAAAACCUAAAUUGAUUUAUUAGCUUGUUUCAAGGUCUAUUUCAUAUUCUUUAAAUUAGUAAUUUAACAUAUUUUUCUAUAACGUUGCUAACAUAGUUUUAAGUAUAUAUAUGAUGUAUUUGAAGGUAUAUACCAACAACUACACACAGGAGGAUGACAGAAAUCGACAAAGAUAUCCAAGCAUCGCUAAUGGCUAUAAUCAACAAAAGAAAGAAAGCCAUGAUGGCUGGUGAAGUCCUAAACAACGAUUUACUAGGUAUACUUUUGGAAUCAAAUCAGAAAGAAAUACAAGAAAAUGGAAACAAUAAGAAUGUUGGAAUGAGCGACCAAGAAGUACUCGAGGAAUGCAAUGCAUUCUAUCUAGGAGGCCAAGAAUCCACAUCAGUUCUGCUUGUUUGGACAAUGAUAUUGUUGAGUAGAUAUCCUGAUUGGCAAGCACGAGCUAGAGAGGAAGUUUUGCAAGUUUUUGGCGACAAAAUGCCUAACAGCGAUGGAAUAAGUCGCCUUAAAAUAGUAAGCGCCACAUAGUUACUUUCUCUUGAUUUAAAACUCAUUAUUUUUAGGGUAAGAAUCGAAUUCAGUAUAUAAGAGUUUACAAUACUCACACCCUAUGCAUCAACCAUUUGCGCUAGACUCAGGUGGUGAUUGAAACCUCAUUUAAGUGCUUGAAAUUAUAUGAUAAGUUUACAAAAGAUGUCUUUGAAAGUAAUGCAUAUGUACUAAAAUGACAAACAAUUUACUUUGUGAUUAACACAAUUUACUUUGGUCAUUGUUACUAUUGAUUAAAUCCUUUUGGUGGUUACUCCUAAUAUAAGUUUUUUUGUAUCAUAGGUGACAAUGAUUCUCUAUGAGGUACUAAGGUUAUACCCACCGGUAAUUUACUUCAAUCGAGUAGCUCGCAAAGAUGUGAAAGUUGGAAGUCUUUUCCUCCCCGCAGGAGUACAUGUUUCCUUACCAAUACUCUUAAUUCACCACAAUCGCGAUAUUUGGGGAGAUGAUGCCACUGAGUUCAAUCCAGAGAGAUUUUCGGAAGGAAUCGCAAAAGCAACAAAAGGCCAAGUUUGUUUUUUCCCAUUUGGUUAUGGUCCUAGAGUUUGCAUGGGGCAAAACUUUGCUUUAUUAGAAGCAAAGAUGGUUUUGUCACAACUUCUACAACGUUUCUCAUUUGAACUUUCCCCUAACUAUGUUCAUGCUCCAACAACUGUAUUCACUCUUAAUCCAAAACAUGGGGCUCAUAUCAUUUUCCACAAAUUAUAGUGUGCUAUGAAGCACAAACGCUUCUCAGAUUAGGCAUGUCCUGGUGUCGGACAUGUGUCGUGUCCGACGCCGACACUUGUAAUUACACUGAAUUAUGUGAUUUUUUCAAAUUAUUAACCGUGUCGGCGUGUCAGUGUCCGUGUCAUGUCCGUAUCCGUGCUUCAUAGAUUUGAAUUGCUAGAUUUGAAUGCCUCUUCUAUAAAUAUUGUAGGCCUAGGGGAAUGCCUCUUCUAUAUCAUAUUGAGUGCUAGACUUGAAUUGCUAAAGAGCUAUAUCCAUAAUUUGAAGAUUAUCUAUUUAUAGCAUGUUGCGAAGAUUCUUAACCUUUUUUUUAUAUGGAAAAUGGUUUACCGUAAUUAAGCCGAUGUGUGUGUACAUUUAUAUGGCUGUGUAUGUAUAGACACGGAUCUACAUAUUUGCUUAAAAAUAAGCGCAAAUGAGAAUGGUGAUUUGAUGUCCUGGUAGGAUCGUAUGCGAGAAGCACUUUGACGCUCAAGUUAAUGGAAGAUUAAGGUGAGUUAAUAGUAGUAAAAAUUGAUGAGUACCAUGUUUUUAUAAGAAAGGCCUAUUAUAUAGUGGAGUGAUUCAGGAGAAAUGGAGGAAAAGUGUAUUGAGAGCGUUGAGCAAGUGAAUCUCUCCUUAACAAGCAAGUCAAUCAAGAUCAUGUAGUGAUAAUCCUUGAAGAGAUGUCACACAUGUGGAUUUGGACUCGUAAUGAGGAAAUCCUAUUCAGAUGUGCUUUGGUCGGUCCAAACUAUCAAUAGAUAUUUUUUUUUUAAGAAAUCAAACUAACUCACCUAAAUUAACAUUAGGGUGAAUCAAAUUGAGAUCUUGAGAGGAGCACAAUUAAAGAUCUCAAGUCAAUAUCAUGUGGCUAAUUCAAGUGGGUUACUCGAUAAGGAUAGUUUUAACCAUGAGUUAAACUUGGGUACUCUGGAUUCAAUUAAUCCUAAGUGAAGUUCAUUAGCUGCUUCAUUUCUUCUUCUUUUGGUAGAAAUUAUUUUUUUUUGGUAUGAAACUUGCAUAUACUGUUUUACAAUGUAUAAGCAUUAAAAUUUUGGAUGGAAAUACACAUGGAUUGAGAAAUUUAUGAAAUGGGGGACAAAUCAUCUGAACAUAUAUUUGUUUUUUAAUAGUAUGGAAAAUGUAUUCAAUCUAUAUCUCUAUGUUGAUUUCUCCACUUCUCUAUUCAAUCUUUAUCAAUCAAAAUCAUGAUUCCUGCUCUUGCUCUCCCUCAUUUGUUGCUUUUUCAAGGAUGCAUCUUGGUGUGUUUAGAAAUUCAUCAUUUCUUGCUACAAUUAUUGAUUGAUAUUAGAGAAGGAAAAAGUAACAUCCUUUGGUCAGAAUUUUAUCCUAGUUGAGUUGUACCUUUACACGUCUUUCUUUGGUGGUCAAUCAUACUAUACCUUAUCCUUCGUCUCUAGACCUCACUACGAUUUCAAUUGUUGAAAAGAAACCAUAGCAACAUUAUGUUUUGACUACUCCAUCAUUAUUCAUUUUGAGAUUUAAUGUCUCUGUUGUCAAAUUAAGCAUCCUCUCAGCCACAUGUAUGACUUGUCAACAUAUUUUUAGAUUAAUAAUCUAAAAGACCAUUUAUAGUCGAUUUGAGUGAACAUCUAUAUAUAUAUAUAUAUGAGAUUUGUUAGAACACACCCACUAGUUUUUAUGUGAGAGUGUUUUAGCAAGUUAUAACUAAAAAGUUAAUAAAUACACCUUAAGGUGUAUGUUGCUAUAACACACCUUCUUAAAAAACAAGUGGGUGUGUUCUAGCAAAUCCUAUAGGCACUUGCUACAAUACACCCACUUAUUUUUUAGAUGGAGUAUUUUAGCAAAUCAAUAACUAAAAAGUGGUUAAAUACACCCUAAGGUGUAGCUUUGCUAAAACACUCCCACAUAAAAAUUAGUAGGUGUGUUCUAGCAAACCCCUAUAUAUAUAUUGACCUUUGACAAUAUGCGAAAGAUAUUGGUUUACUUGUUAGGAUUACUAGACUUUAGACCCGUGCGUCGCACGGGUCAUUUCGACUAAUAUAUAAGAAUAAGUAAUUGUAAAAAAAAUCCUAAAAUAAAUAAAAGAUGAAGAGUAUUAUACAUUUUACUUACGCAAGUUCAAAAAAUAAAGUAGGAGAUUACAUGAAAUCGUUUAGUUGAAACAAACGAAUAUUAAAAAAUAAAAAUUAGACAACGACAGGGAUCUAAAAUUUUAUUUCCAACCCUUCACAUAUCAAAAUUAGUCCCCCGUCCUUUUGUAUAUAUCUUUUUCCCCAUAGGAUGGAGGUAUCUCGGGGUACCACUCUAGUUGGAAUGUCGAUGAUGUCUCAUGAUGCCUGUCCUCUCUCCUUGCUUAUCAAAAAAAAAAAAAAAAAAUCCUUCACAUAUCAAAAUUACAAUUGGUUCUCUUCAUUGUAAUCAUCUAAACUUAAUUAAAAAAUUUGCAAGUGCAAAUAGAAUCGACAUUAUACAAAUUGGUCACUACUUGAUUCCAAAAACCUAUGUUAUAUGAAAACCACUCAUACCUAAAUAACAAUAAUAAACCUUCAAAACAUAAAUCAACUAUUCUCAAAGGACCAAAAAGAAAGAUUUUUAGCCUUCAAAAUCACAAUUCCUCUUGUUGUAUUGUUUUUAUGUCAAAAGCACCAUAAGUUGAAUAGUAGGCUCAUGCACAUGACUUUCCUCAUAAGACAAAAACACAUGUUUUUUAUAGGUAGAAAAAUAAAUCAAAUAUCCUUAACUUUCAAUAACGUUUAGAAACAACUGAAACUUUUGCAUUAUCUCAAUCCACAAACAAAAUAGAAGACCUUUAUAUUUGUUUUAGGCACCUUAAGGAAUUCUAUGUAAAUUGUUUUCCUGCAAUGAAAUGCUAAACACAAUGUGCAAAGAAGAAGAAUUAACAACAAUAUUCGGAUUGUUUUAUUUAGCUUACAAUUCUUUAAACUAAUCAACAAAAAAUUAAAUUUGCAUUAUAUACUCCACAAUAUCAAGAAUUUUUCAAAGGGGUCAUUCUAUUUGUAUGGCUAUGAUGAGAACUCAUGUGUGUCCAUGAAGAGCAACUCUACGGAUAAGUGUUAUCUAUAGAAUUGGUAUUGCCAUUCAUAAAGCCUCUAAUAAAAAAUAUUAUUAUGACUACAAAACAACAAAUCAGCAAAGCAGUUUAGAAAAGAGUGAAGACAAUAAUUUUUACCUAAAGAGGAUUAUGUUAUAGUUAACAUUCACACAUGCAGCUAAAUGCCUGGUUCAUAUUCAUACCCUCUGUCGAAGCAUGUCCUACGUUUUAUACACUAAAUAUAUUAUGUUGUCACAUUUCCAAAGUGCGGGACAGAAAAAGAAGACAUUAAAUGUUAACAACUAAAAAGUGUAACAUCUAAGAGAACAAAAUGCGGGACAAAAACAUUGUUAACCAACUAAAAGACAGAAACAAAUCCCUUGUAGUUAAGUCUAUAAUUUCUAUAAAAUAUAGCAUGAUCACUUUUCACCACCUGCUAGAAGUUUUCACAAAGUGAAAAUCAAAUCAAUGUAUAUUUUCUGAGUUAUAAUCUUAAAUAUUGCAAAUGAAAGUUAUAUUUAUAAAAUCUCCUUACCAAAUGAAGAGACUAAACUCUUACUCACCCACCAAUAACAUUAGCAAUUGUUGCAUUGUGAGGACCUGCAACUGCACAUGAUUUUUACUUCAAGAUAGGUACUAUUUGAGUUGUGCACACAUAAAUAAAGAAACAAAAUAAAAGAAGACACUUAAAUCCCUCAAUAAAUUGUUUAUUUGUUUCAUUUAGGGGAAGACUAAACAAAGCUAAUACGGCAUUCUAUCGAAGGAAGGAAUGAAGAAAAGCGAAUGCAUACUUACGUUUAAUUGAAAGAAAAUGAACACGGAAAAAGAUCAUAAUAUCGACAUCGUAGUAAAACUGCAACAAUGGAGAAUCUGAAAAAUUGUAAAAUCAAGAUUAAGAAAAUAAGAGACAGAUGCCGUAAAAAAAGAAAGUCCAAAUUGGAAAGAGAAUAAAAUCUGGAUGCUUAGAUUAAAAUUAUGAAGAGAAUUUAGCAAGACUGAUACUUCAUUACAUUGAAAAGCAAAAACUGAAGAAUCAAAUGUUUGAUUCAACAACUGAAAAUAAAGCAAAAAGAUGGAGCAGCAAACACUCCAUUAUAUGAAUCUGGAUUAUUAACCAAAGGACCUGUUGCAUCAAUACAGUAAAAAUAAAAAGUGUUACAAAACAUCUUUAAGCAUGAAAACAUACGCAAAAAUCAGACCAUAGCAUCAGAUAUACCCGUUAAGCAGUGAUACGACAACAACAUUUUUCAAUAUUACCACUUGAUAUUCUUUGAAUGAAUGAUUGAAGGGAGAAAUUCUCUGAACGAAUGAUUAAAGGGAUAAAUAAGGAUGUGUUUUAUUCAAUUCUGUAUGGUACACAUUUAUAGUGAGAAGGAGAAUUGAUACGUGAAAGUGCUUUGGAAGAUUUGAUACGUGAAAGUGCUUUGGAAACAGCGAAAUUUGUGGUGAGUUAGAGUCUGGGUCGUGGUUAAUAUUAGAAGGGAAUUUGAAUUUUGCAAUCGCAAAAAUGGGAAGCCUGAUAUAAUGGAAAGCCUAACAAAUUAUGAUUAAAUAAUCCCUUAAUUAAUGCACACAAAUUGGAAAAGGUGCAACAAACUUACAGGAAUUUGUUAGGUUAUUUUUUUUUGAAAAAGGGAAUUUGUUAGUAGCGAAAAUAGGAUUGGAUUGAAUUUAGUAGUGAGCUGUUGUUUUUUAUUUCAGAAGCAUUUGAAAAUAACAUUUUGAUUAAAUGGAAAUAAUCGGAAGAAUUUGUUAAUAAGAAUGAUUUUUUUUUAUUUUAUGUUUAUCUGUUUAUUGUUGUGCUGGAAACAAAAUAGAAGGAAAUUGUAUUUUUUUUUUUUUUGUAUGUUUAUCUGUUUAUUGUUGUGUUGGAAACAAAAUAGGAGGAAAUUGUUAAAGGAAUAGGAGGAACGAUUUUUAAAGUUUAUCUCUUAAUUAAACAGGUUUAAUUGAACACGGGGUAAAUAACGUAAAAGUAAUCAUAAAAUUUAGAUUAAAAUUAGGUUAAAAAUUGAUUUACGGGUUAACUUUUAUAUAUAAAGAUGAUUUUGUUUCGUUAAUGCCCCAUAAAUUUCUGAACAUUUUAGAAAUGUUGUUAGGUGUCUGGCUAACUUAACCACCACUAAUCUAAAACUAUGUAAGGGGGAAUGCCCAAAAUCAUAAUCAUUUUGAUUGUAUUAUCUUUGGGGUUAAAUAUAUGUUUAAUCCUUAUAAAUUUGUCAACUUUUCGUUUUAGUUCCUCUAAAAAAUUUCUUUAACUUUUAGUCCUUCAAAAAAUUUUCAUCUUUAUUUUUGGUCCCUCCUUUAAAGUAAACUCAUAAUUAGAAUUCAUAUUUUUGAAUAAAAUUUUGCAGAAAAAUUUAUAAUAUUAUAACCCUCAUAAAAAUUAGAUUUUUUUAACAAAACAUGAAUUUUUAUAUUUUUGACGGUUAAAAAUUCAUAUUUAAUAUAUGUUUUGUUAAAAAAUUCUAAUUUGUUGAGUGAUUUUUACAUUAUUCUACACAUUUCGGUACAAUUUCAUUAAAAAAUACAAAAAUUAACUUAAAAAUAAGGACCAAAUAUAGUGAUUGAAAAUUUUAUACAGUCUAAAAGUGGAAGAAAAAUUUUAGAGGGACUAAAACAAAAAGUUAUUAUAUUUAUCGGGACCAAAAACACAUUUAACUUUUAUCUUUUUUUUUGUUUUUGAAGAAGCUAAACUAACCCCCUCAAAUUGGCACCAGAGAAAAUCGAACAUGAGUCCUUGAGGAGGAGCACACUCCUAGGUCCCAAGCCAAUACCACUAUUGUAGCAUUUGAGUGAAUCAAACUUAAUUUCCUUGUAAAAAAUUUAAAAAAUAAGUUCUCAACAGCACAAAAAGAAUCCUCAAAGUCAAGUUUAUGUGGCCAAAAAGAACAAAGAGCCUGAAGUGGUGAACCUUGAGGGUUCAGCAUCAAAGAUUAGAAACCAGGAUGAUAUUAAUCUUGAAAUAGAGGUUAAUGAAGAACUGACAAAAAGGAGAGAAGAUAUAGCAAAAGUUUGAAUGAAAAAUCAUGAGGUGAGUAACAGGGCACAAAGUCUGAAUCAAGGUAAAACAAUGAUUGAAGAUUCUGGAAGCACUAAUGGUUCAAAAUUUGUUGAUGCUACACAACAAGUCAAUUAUGAAAAUGAAGAUUCUGAGAAUAAUGCAAGUGAAGAGGAGGAGGUUGCAUCAGAAAACAGUGCUAAUGAUGAUGAUCAAGCAGUCCUGCAACAAGAUAUCUAGUUCUUAAAAGAGUCAUGGUCCAACCUUGUUGAGAUGAAGCCAAUGAUGGUGACUUUGAACAAGAUCUCAAUGCUGUCAAUACAGGUCAGGAGGCAAAUACAUCUAGAAACUUGAUUGGUAAGUUACCUGCAGAAACAUCUUUGUCCAAAGAAGCAGAUGCUCUUAACCUUGAUGUUGAUGAACAAGGGUUUCAGAUUGUUACUAGCAAAUCAACAAAAGAAAGCUUCAAAGAAAUCUAGUACUCAGAGGAUCUCAAAGUCAAAACCUUAUCUUGCCAGAUCAAAGGUUGGUCCUCCCAAACCUUUUAGAUGAGUGCUAUUGGAACUUCAGAGGUUUAGCUAAUACUCCCACAAAAUUAGCUUUAAAGAAACUUCUUAUUAAAUAUAAGCAUGAUAUAUGUUUUACCUAUGAACCCUAGAUGUCUAUUAACAAUCAUUCCCCUAGAUGGCUCCAUAACCUUGGAAGAAGAAGAACCCUUUGGUCUGUCAUCUCUAAUAUCCAAACCCAAUACAAAAUCCCUUGGAGUUGUGUUGGUGAUUUCAAUACAAUAUUGGGAUCAAAUGAACACAAAGGUAUUCAUGAACCUACUAGGUUACUGAUGGUCGGAUAUGACAAGUGUACGAAAUCUUUUACCAUGUAAUAAAGUGAUAAGUAGAGUAUCGUAUCAACAGGGAUUGUCAUUUCGUCCCAACAAUUUGCGUUACUUAUUUUUGUAAUUUUGACAGUAUAAAAGAUAGGUUGCAAUUUUUAUCUGUUUGCAACAGAGCAAGUUUACAUGUUUUUGGUUGCAGAAAAGUAAGCAGCGGUUAGGAUUUUUCGAAUCCCCCUGUUCAUAUUGUUGGAUAUCAAGUAACAAUAAUGUCGCAUUUAUUUAUCUUAGGUAGACUAUACAAGUGAUGGGAUCGUUGGGACGUUACUAAUCUAAUUUGGUUUAUCCCUCCGAUGGACAACUACACCUGCUGAACGCACGGUGAUCCUUACGUGCGGGGUCUUGCUAAUUCAAAGGUAACUGAAACAUAAACUUAAAUUGGCUUUCCAGUGUUUCCCAAGACAAUGAAGGCCAAGGUUCCCUUAGGUCUGCCCAUCUAUGAAUCUUAGGAUACUCAUAACACACUCUCUAUGUUUUUAGCAGUUCUACAAAUGGACAACCCUAAUCUACGUCUACCUUACUAAGGGUUUCAAGAGAAUGGUUCUAUUAGGCUACAAAUUAUUUCCUUUAGUUAGGCACUUGUUUACCUAAUUACUAACUAGUUACAUCCUAGGUUCGGUAGAGCACCACUCAGUCUUAGUAAUGUCAUCUCUUAAGUACCUACAACUAUGGUAAACUCUCUAUCGGUAUCUUUCGGUAGUUAAUAAUCACUUACUUCCUAGACAAAUAAUUAUCAGUAGGCAAUAUUGCCAAAGGCUUUGUUUUAUGUCAAUUUUGUAGGCAAUAUUGCCACCAAAAAAUUUCUUCUCCGACAAGUUAACUGCCUCCGAAGCAACAACAAUACGAUUUUGAGUGCUUCUUUUAGAUGAAACAUAUCUUAUAAAAACAGUACUUUAAUAGUAAGAAUAUCUAUAUUGGGUAUGAUUUUUAUAAAUAAAUUAUAAUAAGUAAAUUGUAGUUAUCUCCGUUUUUGUUUACAUUAUCUAAUUAAAUAGUGAGAAACAACUAACAUGUGUAAAAAAAUAUUAUUGUCCCACCACACUACAAAACUUAUGCUCCAACGUAUGUAAUAAAAUAAUUAAUUCUUUAGAUUUUUUUAUUCUUAAAAAAACAAUUAAAAAACACUAUGUGUCAAUAUUAUAGAUGGUGGUAGUUUUGUAAUUUUAUUAAUAAUAUAUUUUCUCAAUUCUCCCAUGGAUAAGUCUAUCGUGAAAAUAUGUCAUAUGAAAAUUAAAAAUAUUGGUUUAAGUUUUAGUUGCUAAUAAAAUUAUUGGUUUGACCAUGAGACUCAAUAAUAUAAGAAAAGACAAAGUUCUAUACACCCACAAAAAAAAAGUGAGUAGUCUAUGUCAUGCUGAGUUGAUACCAAUCAAAAUCAUUUAUUUAUCGUAUAAUAUUUUUGUUGAUAGAUAAUACACUUGUCACACCAAAGGUAACUUUAAUGCGUAAUAUAUUAUGGCCCACUUCCAUUUAUAUUCGACAACUAAUAACUUUUCAUUGUUAGGUCGGAUGUCAUGAUCGAGGUUCGAACUUCGGUACCUCCACUUAUGUGUAAGAGUUUAUAAUGACUUUGUCAUUUCGUCUAUCUACCAAAAAAAAACUUUACAUUGGAUUGGUCAUAAUAUGACAUUGAAUGUUUGGAAAUUUAGUGUCCACCAACCAUAAAACCAACUACUUAGUGUACAAUCUCAAGCAUUCAUAUUAUUAUUUUGAGAAAUGAUAUUUCUAAAAUCAUUUUUCGACAAUUUUUAAAAAAUUCCUCUCACUCAUACUCGCAUGUGUUUUUAUUUUCUCUCUUCUUCUUUUUCUCUCUAUUGUUUUUGUCCAAUAAAUAAAGAGAAAAAAUAGUUGUCACAAAAGUUGUCUAAAAUUUUUGUACAAAUAUCAUUCCUAUAUUAUCUUAUGAGCAAUGAUAUUUGUACAUCCAUUUAAUGACAAUUUUGGUGACAACUUUGCUUUUCUCUCUUUUGAUUGGUCAAAAACAAUGGAGAGAGAAAAAGGAAGAGAGAGGAUAACAACAUAGUAUGAGAGAUAAAGUUGUCAAAAAGUUGUAGCAAAAUGGUUGUACAAAUAUCAUUUCUCUUAUCUUAUAGGUUUAAAUAUGUGAUUAGUCCUUGCACUUUCACCCAAUUUUAGCAUUGGUCCCUGCGCUUUGUAAAAGCUUUAGUUUUGGUCCUUCUAUUAAGUCUCAAUUUAAAAAAAAAUAUCAAAACUAACGGUGUGCUACGUGGACCAAUUAUUCUACACCAUGUGGCACACUAAAAGACAAAAAAAAUCCAACUUUUUAAUUAUUAAUUUAUUCAUUAUUUUUUAAUUAAAAAUAUCAUUAGUCUUCGCACUUUCAACAUUUUUUUAUAUUAGUCCAUGCACUUUGAUAUUAGUCCUGCAAACUUUUUUUUUUUUUUUUUUUACAGUUUGAAUUAAAUUAUUAUGGUUUAUUAUUAUUUUGUUCAUUAUUUUUAUUGAGAAUAAUUAUAAAAAAAAAUAAAAAAUAUUUCUUCUCCUCAGAAGCAACAACAAUACGGUCAUAUGUGCUUCUUUUAGAUGAAACAUAUAUUAAAAAACAAUAAUUUAAUUAAUUCUCUAUUAAGAAAUAUCUAUAUUGUGUAUGAUUUUUAUAAAUAAAUUAUAAUAAAUUAAUAGUAGUUAUCCCCAUUUUUAUUUACAAGAUGUAAGAAAUUAUCUAAUUAAAAAAUAGCGACAAACAACUCACAUGUGUAAAAAAAAUUAUUGUCCAACGACAUUAUACAAAACUUAUGCUCCAACAUGUGUAAUAUAAUAAAUUUUGUAAAUUUUUUUUCUUAAAAAAAUAAUUAAAAAACACUAUGUGUCAAAAUUUGAGAUGGUUGUAGUUUUCUAAUUUUAUUAGUAAUAUAUUUUCGCAACUCUCCCAUGGACAAGUCUAUAAUGAAAAUGUGUCAUGUGAAAAUUAAAAAUAUUUGUUUAAGUCUUAGUUGUUAAUUAAAAUUACUGGUUUGGCCAUAUGAUUCAAUAAUAUCAGAAAAGACAAUCUAUACACCCACAAAAAAGAUGAGUAGUGUAGGUUAUACUGAGUUGAUACCCAUCAAAAUCAUUCAUUUAUCGUAUACUAUUUUUGUUAAUAGAUAAUACACUUGUCACACCAAAGGUAACUUUUAAUGCGUAAUAUAUUAUGGUCCAAUUUCUUAUAUAUGCGACAACUAAUAAUUUACAUUGGAUUAAUCAUAAUAUGACAUUGAAUGUCUAGAGACUUAGUGUCCACCAACCAUAGAACCAACCACUUAGUGUACAAUCUCAGGCAUUAAAUAUUAUUAUUUUGAGAAAUGAUAUUUGUACAAUUAUUUUUUGACAAGUUUUAAAAAAUUUCAUUUCUUUGAUACUCACAUGUGUUUUUAUUUUAUCUCUUCUUCUUUUUCUCUAUAUUGUUUUUGUCCAAUAAUAAAAGAGAAAAAAUGGUUGUCACAAAAGUUGUCUAAAAUUUGUUGUACAAAUAUCAUUCAUCGAUUAUCUUAUAGGCUUAAAUAUGUGAUUAGUUCCUGCACUUUCACCCAAUUUUGACAUUGGUCCCUGCACUUUGUAAAAUCUUUAGCUAAUCAUUCCACACCAUGUGGCACACUAAAAUACAAAAGAAAUCCAACUUUUUAAUUAUUAAUUUAUUCAUUAUUUUUUAGUUAAAAAUAUCAUUAGUCUUCGCACUUUCAACAUUUUUUUAUAUUAGUCCAUGCACUUUGAUAUUGGUCCUGCAAACGUUUUUCUUAUUUUUAAAAAAAAAAAAUGUUUGAAUGAAAUUAUUAUGCUUAAUUAUUAUUUUGUUCAUUAUUUUUAUUGAGAACAAUUAUAAAAAAAAUUAAAAAAUCUUUCUUCUCGGACAAGUUAUCUGCCUCAGAAGCAACAACAAUACGGUCUUGAGUGCUUAUUUUAGAUGAAGCAUAUAUUAAAAAAAAAACACUAAUUUAAUUAAUUCUCUAGUAAGAAAUAUCUAUAUUGUGUAUGAUUUUUAUAAACAAAUUAUAAUAAGUAAAUUGUAGUUAUCCCCGUUUUUAUUUACAAGAUAUAAAAAUUAUCUAAUUAAUUUAGUGACAAACAAAUGAUAUGUGUAAAAAAACUUAUUGUCCAACGACACCGUACAAAAGUUAUGCUCCAACAUGUGUAAUAUAUAAUAAAUUCCGAUAGAUUUUUUUUCUUAAAAAAAAUAACUAAAAAACACCAUGUGUCAAAAUAACUGAUGGUGAUAGUUUUGUAUAUUUUCUCAACACUCCUAUGGAUAAAUCUAUAGUGAAAAAUUGUCAUAUGGAAAUUAAAAAAAUUGGUUUAAGUCUUGUUGCUAAUUAAAAUUAUUGAUUUGGCCAUGAGACUCAAUAAUAUAAGAAAAGACAGUCAUAUACACCCUAAAAAAUGGUGAGUAAUGUAGGUCAUACUGAGUUGAUAUCCAUCAAAAUCAUUAAUAUAUCGUAUACUAUUAUUUUUGAUAGAUAAUACAGUUGUCACACCAAAGGUAAUUUUAAUGCAUAAUAUAUUAUGGCCCACUUACUUAUAUAUGCGACAACUAAUAACUUUACAUUCGAUUGGUCAUAAUAUGACAUUGAAUGUUUGAAAACUUAGUGUCUACCAACCAUAGAACCAACCACUUAGCGUACAAUCUCAAACAUUCAAUAUUAUUAUUCUGAGAAAUGAUAUUUGUACAAUCAUUUUUUGACAAUUUUUGAAAAAGAAAUCCUCUAUCUCAGACUAAUAUGUGUUUUUAUUCUCUUUCUUCUUAUUUUUCUCUCUAUUGUUUUUGUCCAAUAAAAAAAGAAAAAAAAUGGUUGUCACAAAAAUUGUCUAAGAUUUGUUUUACAAAUAUCAUUCCUCUAUUAUUUUAUAGGCUUAUGUAUCAGUCUCUGUACAUUCGCCUAAUUUUGGCAUUGGUCCCUGCACUUUUUUCGUUUGGUAUUUAUCCUUACACUUUGUAAAAUCUUUGGCUUUUGUCCUUCUGUUAAGUCUCAUUUUAAAAAAACGGUAUGCUACAUGGACCAAUCAUUCCACGCCACGUGGCACACUAAAAGACAAAAAAAUCCAACUUUUUAAUUAUUAAUUUAUACAUUUUUUUAGUUAAAAAUAUCAUUAGUCCCCGCACUUUCAGCAUUUUUUGACAUUAGUCCUUGCACUUUGAUAUUGGUCCCUAAACUUUUUUCUUUUUAUUUUUUUAAAAAAGUUUCAAUGAAAUUAUUAUGUUUUAUUAUUAUUUUGGUUCAUUAUUUUUAUUGAGAAUAAUUAUAAAAAAAUUAAAAAAAUCGUUGUAAAAAAAAUUAAACUUUAUCUUAUUAAAAUGAAAAUUGCAUCGCAUUAACACCAUGACAAUAGAUUUUAAUUUCCAUCUAUAAUUGCAAAUGAAAAUUGCAUCGCAUUAAAAAAAUUAAGCUUUAAUUGUAUUUUUUUUAAUAAAUUAAGCUUUAAUUGUAUAAUUAAAUGGAUUGCCAAUGUGAAAUUUAAUUUCCAUCUACUUUGUUAAUUUUCAUCUAUUGUCAUGGUGUUAUUGCGAUGCAAUCUCCAUUUGCAAUGCGAUAUAAUUAAAGCUUUAUUUUUAAAAAAAAAAAAAGAUUUGUUUUGUUUUAUAAUUAUUCUCAAUAAAAAUAAGGAACAAAAUAAUAAUAAUAAAACAUUAUAAUUUCAUUCAAAGUUAUUUUAAAAAAGAAAAAGAAAAAGGUUCAGGGACCAAUAUGAAAGUGCAGGGAUUAAUAUCGAAAAAUGUUGAAACAACACUAAUGAUAUUUUUAAUUAAAACAAAACCUGUUUGGAAACCUUCGAAAGACAACCCAUCGGAAACCGGAUCCUCCCGGGCCUUUGAAGCACCCUCCGCUAUUACAAACAUGGUUCCAACCACUUCAGCUCCGGCACAAGACCCUAAGGGUCCGAAGCAACAUGACACUCAAACCACAUUUUUUCUUUUGAAUUACAAAAUGUUACAGACGACGUUGUUCUAGGUACUCUCCCGACGAGUACGGUGUUUGAAAUGGAUCCACUAGUAGCGCAUAAUGGCGUGCAUUUUGAUGAUGUGGAGCAGUCUAUUCCCGUAAUUCGGGAAGAGCAGUUGGUUCCCCGACUCAUGGAGGCGACGACUACACUUUCAUCUUCUGCGCAUAAUGAUGUGAAAAUUUUCUCUGAUGAAUCGGCUUCCUCCGCUUUCACUAGGGAGGACUCACCGGCACAGCAAGAGGUAGCCCAAGAUGGCGUGCAGGCAAAUCGGAAGACGAUGCCAAUCUCUGCUUUUCAAAACCAACGACUUUAAGCCCGUUUAUUUAUGGCUUCGUAACUCCCAUCGGGAAUAUAAUAUGAAGAUUCUCAUUCCUCAAGUAGUGUUCCCCUAGUGAAUGUCUUGGUAGAAGAUAUGAUUUCGUUAAAUUUAGGAUUAUUCGUUUUUAAAUAAGCCCUUAACUCAACGAGAAAUUUCCAUACCUGAUCAAUUUCUAAUGAAUCAAGAUAACCAUUCGUUCCAGUAUAAAUAGUUAUUAUUUGUUCUUCCACAGUGAGAUGAGCUGAUUGGGAAUUGUUUAAGCAACUCGCGCAAUCGUCGACCUCUUGCCAAUUGAUUUUGCGUAGCUUGUAUCAAUUAUCAUUUCAACGAUCAACUUCUCCAAUAAUGAUAUCUACUCCUGACUAUGAAACCAAAGAUAUUGAUAUCUUGGCAGCAUUCCGAGUAAGUCCUCAACCUGAAGUUUUCAAUUUCCUCUUGUUCGUUCAAUCCCGGUAGAGACAGAAUUGAUGGCUGAGAUGGAGAGACUAGACCAAGAAGAUCCCCAGGCAUUUAAUGCAUCCAAUGUUUCGCUUCAGGAUGGUGAAAGAAACUCAAUUACUAUGGAGGAAGCUCAAAUUAAUCCCAAAAUUCAGGAUAGCUUGGAUUUAUGGCAGCAUAUCCGUGCAAAUGAUAAAGAAAAUGCAGUCAGCCAAUUUAUUCCGGUUUUAUCAAAGAAACAGAAGCAACAAGUCAAGAAACAACUUCAAAUUGCAGAUCAGGCCUCAGAAAAUCCAGUCACGGUUCCUACAGACACUACCGGCUCCGCAAUGGCUACCUCUUCAGCAAUUGUAGAAACUGAUGUUAAUUUGAUAGGGAGCCCCCCCAUGGUGAUGUUAGACAGGCUUCCAACGGAGUUACAUAUGGAUUUCUUUCGAGGCAGAAUUGGCUUGCUCAAUUAUAAAUUUUAGUAGUCAUUUUUUAUGUUUUCUUUUGUUUUUUCUUUGAGGGUUUUGGCCUAGUCCCCCCUCCCCUUGUAUAUUUUUUUUCCCUUUUUUUAAUAAAAUUUUAGAGUUAGACGGCCAUAGGACGGAGGAUUCCCGUGGUGCCAACCUAGUUGGGAUGUCGAUGUGGCUUCCUGGUGUCUGUCUUUCUCCCUGCUUAGAAAAAAAAAUAAAAAAUUAAUGAAUAAAAUAAUAAUGAAAAAGUUGUUUUUUUUUACAAGAAUUAAAAAGUUGUUAUUUUUUUGUGUUUUAGUGUUCCACAUGGCAUGGAAUGAUUGGUCAAUGUGGCACACAUUAGUUUUGAUUUUUUUUUAACGGAGAAUCAACAUAAGGACCAAAGCCAACAAUUUUACAAAGUGCAGGGACUAAUACCAGAUAAAAAAAAGUGCAGAGAUUAAUGCCAAAAUUGAAUGAAAAUGCAUAGACUAAUCACAUAUUUAAACCUAUUUUAUAUCAUGAAAGAUGCUCUAAGAAAAUCCAAAAAGAAUAAGCCGUUCGAAUAUGACUAAGGCCCCGUUUGGAUGAACAACAUAUAUAGAUGCUUAUAGCAUUAGAGCUUACAUCAUAAGCUCUUAUACUUGAUAAGCUAUUUAUGUUUGGAUAUGUACACUAAAAAGUACUUAAAUAAAUUGAAGUGUUUGGAUGUGACAUUACAUAAGCAAUUAUCGAAAUUUUAAAUAUUUUUAAUUUAACAAAAAAAUCAAACAAUCGAACCACAAUUAUCAAUUUUUUUUUUGAUAAAAUUAAUCAAGAUGUAAAAAACAAUAUUAUAAUAUAUUAAUUAUAAUUAUAUAUAUAGUAUAAUCAAUAUUCGUCCUAAAAAAAUAUCAAUAUUCAUAUAAGACAAAAUUAACAUUAGAGGUGUAAAUAAAUAGUCUAAACAUCAUCAUACACAAAUAUAAUAAUAUAUGAUAAGCUUUCUUUUAAAAAAAAUUAUAAUAAUAUAAAUAUAAUAGUAGAAAAUAAUCACGUAUGUAAAAGUUUAAUAGUCUUACACCAUUGUUGAAAAAAUCUUUAUAAAUAAUAGUUAAAAACAAAAAUAAAAUAAAAUAGAUAUUAGUGUACAGUUUGUUAACAAAAAAAUACAAGUUAAGUUUGUUUUUUUAUUCAGUUCAAUUUGUUACGUAACAAAAAAAUAAUAAAAUUCUUCCUUAAAAAAAAUAAUAAAAAUCUUAGUUACGUGUUAUACUUUAGUAAGAUAAGUAUAACAAUUUUGUUACUCACGCAAAGAUAACUAACAAAAAAAAAAAUGUUUUGAAAAAGUGGAUCCUGAGAGAAUCGAAGGGGGUUACAUAAAUUCAUAAGCUCCUUGUUAAGCUGAAAAUUUAGGCUUAUUAAAAUAUGGCAUAAGCAGCUUAUGAACCUAUGAUAAGCUAUUUUUAUUUAUUUACCCAAACACCUUUAAAAAGGCUUAUGGGAGUAGAUAAGCCCACAUAAGCUCAAAAUAAGCCAAUCCAAACGGGGACUAAUUAAUUGGAAUAAAUUUUCCGAUAAGAGUGACAUAUAGAUAUACUUCAUCCGUAAAAUAUUACGAAUGAUUAACCUCACAAAGUUACAAUACAACUAUGAGGAAUUUCUCCCUCUCCAACAAGCCGGCCCUAGUCUUCUCUCUCUAGGUUUUUUUUUACAAUUUCUUCAUUGAGGGGUGGUUUUGGAUCAAUUUUUGACCUGAAAUCACCCCUCUUCAUCUUUUUCUCUUUAUUUCAAUCUAAAUAAGUGAUUUUCACAUAGAUCUAGGUUUUUUUUCUUUGUAAUUUCAUCAUCUAAGUGUGGUGAUUUGUUGUUCGUCGUCUUGUGCGGCGUUGUUUGAUUUUCCGUCUUCGUGCGGUGUUCAUUUGAUUCAUAUUGAAAGAUAGAUUGUUCAAUCAAAGAUUUGGGCGUCAACGUUGCAGAUCCGGAGGCAAUGGAUAUUCCAGUCACUUUAAUUCCGGAGGCAAUGGAUAUGCCGUUAUAUGCUAUUAACUUGGAUGUUGUGAGUUUGUUCGCAGAUUCAUCCUUUACAUUUUUAGCGGUGUUGAAUGAUGUAAUCUCUCGAUUUGAAUGAAUGAAUAUCAUUUUAUUUUUAUAUAAAAAAAAAAAAGAUAUACUUCAUCCGUUCCAUAUAAAAUCAAAGAAUUACAAAAUCAAAUCCAACAAAGGUUCCUUCUCCUUAGAUAAUUGUCUUGAUAUUAAACGUGAAACCGACAAAAAGUCUUCAAUGACAUAUGGUGUUGACUGUAUUCAGUGCAUAAAUUGACAUACUCCCUCCAUCUCAAAUUAUUAUAAGAAGAAAAAAAUCGCACUUAUUAAAAAAAUUAAAAUACAAGAAUAAUUUUUUGUUUUUUUAAAAAAAGUUUUAUAAGAAGAUGUAAAAACAAUUUUUAUCGAUUAUUAAUUUUUAAAAAAAUGAAAGAAAGAGAAAAUUAAAUGUAAUUUACAUUUAAUUUUAUAAGAAUAAACAAAAAUAAUAUAUAUUUCUCUACUCCUAGAAAAAUCUAUAUCAUUUAUGGGAGCAGAGAAGUAGAGAAGUAGUAUAUUUCAAAAUGAUAUCAAGGAAAUAACGACUUUUAUUUAUUUAGUUAGUUCUAUCUCCUUCAACAAAAAAUAUUUAUUUAGUUCUAAUGUUAAUUAAUUGGUUAAGUGGUAAGUGGUACGGUACUACUACCGGUUAAUGUCAAUUUUAGACUAUAAAUAAAUGAAUGAAUCUUAUUAUAUCAUCAUCUUCCCCUGUUAAUUUCUUUCAUCCACCAAUUAUCACUCUACACAAAAAUGGCUACAAUUACAUCCAUAAUUCUCUUCACCUUGUUGACACUCUUUUUCAUAUUGGCAUGGAGGAUUUUGAAUUGGUUAUGGUUGAAGCCAAAGAAGCUAGAGAAAUUCCUAAGAGAACAAGGACUAAAAGGGAAUUCAUAUAGGCUUUUAGUUGGAGACAUGAAUGAUCUUCUUAAGAUGAGAAAGGAAGCAACAUCUAANNNNNNNNNNNNNNNNNNNNNNNNNNNNNNNNNNNNNNNNNNNNNNNNNNNNNNNNNNNNNNNNNNNNNNNNNNNNNNNNNNNNNNNNNNNNNNNNNNNNNNNNNNNNNNNNNNNNNNNNNNNNNNNNNNNNNNNNNNNNNNNNNNNNNNNNNNNNNNNNNNNNNNNNNNNNNNNNNNNNNNNNNNNNNNNNNNNNNNNNNNNNNNNNNNNNNNNNNNNNNNNNNNNNNNNNNNNNNNNNNNNNNNNNNNNNNNNNNNNNNNNNNNNNNNNNNNNNNNNNNNNNNNNNNNNNNNNNNNNNNNNNNNNNNNNNNNNNNNNNNNNNNNNNNNNNNNNNNNNNNNNNNNNNNNNNNNNNNNNNNNNNNNNNNNNNNNNNNNNNNNNNNNNNNNNNNNNNNNNNNNNNNNNNNNNNNNNNNNNNNNNNNNNNNNNNNNNNNNNNNNNNNNNNNNNNNNNNNNNNNNNNNNNNNNNNNNNNNNNNNNNNNNNNNNNNNNNNNNNNNNNNNNNNNNNNGCCUUGGCUUGGCUUGGCAUGGGCAGGGGAAGGUCUAGUCCAGGCCGCGAAAAAAAAAUCCAAACCGGUAUGACCUUAAUAAUACGGGUGCGCAGGCGCGCGCGAGGAAUUUCCGCCCCCCGACGUGGUUUGGCCCGAGCACGUGCUCCCCGCGAGAUUUGGCCUACCACAAAAAUUUCGACAACGCGGGCGCGCGCUGGAGAUUUUUGCCUACGAAGGGCAACUCAGUAAAAGUAUCACUCUCUUUCUUUCAUCGUUACACUUUUCUUAAUCUGUGUGAAAUGGUCAAAUAGGUCACUUAUUCAGCGACGGAGGGAGUAUAUUUUAUGAUUGUUACUUUUUUCAUAAACACUGAUGAGUGUAAAAUGAAACAUGGUCUGAGAAUGUGUUUAUAGGUCAAGACAAUCAUCAUCUCACAAGUUAGUUUUGUAAUGAUGAGUCAAACCUAAUUUCAAAGUGGUAUUAGAGUCUAUUGAUUUGGGCCACCCACUAUUUAUACACAAAUCAAGCCCAACAAUGUUUAACAUGAGGUCCAUCUUCACCUCAAAUGCCGGUUUUUUGGAAUUGUGUUAGGUCUGAUCACAAUUUAUAAAAUGGUAUGAGAGCCUUCUCCAAAUUCAAUUGAACUACGUGCUAGCAGGUUUCCGCUAUAUUACAAAUUGCAUUGCAUUCAACCAUCUACUAAUUAACAAGCAUCCUAAUUCCCAGCUGACUUCCUAGUACUGUAUCAGCUUCGACAACAAAAAAUAUUAGGGAUGGAUCAUGAACCAAAUUUUUUUAUAAGGCCAAUAAUUUCCUCUUAAAUUGAUAGCAUGUUUUUAUAGAAUAGUUUUCUUAUCCAAUUUAAGUAGCAUAUUGCUUUGGAAUGAACAACAUAUAUUUAUGGUUUAUCAAACUUUGAUAUUAAUCAUUAACAUUCUGGUCACUGAUCUUGCUGGCCAGUAGGCGGCUCAAAACAUUACAACAUUGCUAUUCCUUCCAAUAUGUUACUAUUCUGCUUCAGAAUGAUAUGAUUUCCUUGUUUAUUCAUGAGGUGUCGGUUCAGUGAAAGAGUUUGAUCCUGCGGUCUAUGGCUUCGCUCCGGCGGGUAUCACUUCACAAAUUGGCUAUGGCAUUCAUUAAAAAAUCCGCCACACCAUUUGGCCAUGGCCUGCAUUUAACAACACUCUUCCCUUUACAAUACUAUCCCGCACCAUAUUCACUUUGGUGAUUUUUUAAAUUGGCAUUAAUACCAAAAGUUAUGUAUUCAAAGAUUGUGAAAGAAAAUAGUACAUUAUAAUAAAUUCCUUAUUCUCAUCAGUUCCUGAUGUUUAUAUACUUUUUUCAUAUCUUCGGCAUGCAGGAAAGAACUCUUUUAUCUGGUUUGGACCAACACCACGGGUAAACUUAACAGAUCCUGAGCUAAUUAGAGAUGUAUUUAACAAAAUGUACGACUUCCAAAAGCCUAUUGCGAAUCCGCUUGGAAAGUUACUAGCUAAUGGUCUUAUAAGUCAUGAGGGAGAACAGUGGAGCAAGCACAGAAAGAUUAUCAACCCUGCAUUCCAUUUAGAAAAAUUGAAGGAAAGUUUCCCUUUACUUGAUAUAGAAUCCAAUUGUGUUUAUCUAGGCCGCAACAUAUAACUUUUCAAGCAUCACAAUUAGGUUUAUAAGAAAACAUGAUUUGAAUUCUUAAUGCACAUGUGCUUAGUUUAACACCUCUUUGUCUCUUACAAACAGAUCAUGUUACCAAUAUACCUCAAAAGUUGCGAUGAUCUGAUUAGCAAAUGGGAGAAAAUGUUGGCUUCAGAUGGAUCAUGUGAAAUGGACGUAUGGCCUUUCCUUCAAAAUUUGGCGAGUGAUGUUAUUUCUCGAGCUGCAUUUGGAAGUAGUUAUGAAGAGGGAAAAAGAAUAUUUCAACUUCAAACCGAACAAGCCAAACUUACAAUGUCAGUUAUGACGAAAGUUUACAUCCCUGGAUGGAGGUAAGAUUAAUAUUUAUAUCACAAGUUGAAUUCGAAAAUGCUAUAUUUUGGAUAAAACUAAGCACUAGAUUCUAGUGAUACAGUAAAUGGAGAUUUGGCUCCUCUAAAAUUAAGUUAAAAUAAAGUAAGAAGACCAGAAUAAAAUAUUUCAACGCAUGUCACAUGGUUUGUUAUACUUGUGCUUGUAAUAACAACCAUUGAUUUAUUAAUCAAUGGUUUAUAGUAUUGUAUACUCUAAAGUGAGUUGUUCACUUUGGAGGAGUAAGAUCAAGGAAAUAGCAUUCCCUUCAGAUCAUUUGAAUUACAUACCAAUUAUGUUUAUUUUGAAGGUUUCUACCAACUACUACACAUAGGAGAAUGAAAGAAAUUGACCGAGACGUUAAAGCGUCGCUUACAGAUAUGAUUAACAAGAGAGAAAGAGCACUAAAGGCAGGUGAAGCCACUAAGGAUGACUUAUUAGGUAUACUUUUAGAGUCAAAUCACAAAGAAAUGGAAGAACACGGCAACAAUAAGAAUGUUGGAAUGAGUCUUGAUGAUGUAAUAGAGGAAUGCAAGCUCUUCUACUUUGCAGGCCAAGAGACCACUUCUGUUUUGCUUGUUUGGACAAUGGUGUUGUUGAGUAGGUACCCUGAUUGGCAAGAACGUGCAAGGGAAGAAGUAUUACAAGUUUUUGGCAACAAUAAACCUGACUUUGACGGGCUAAGUCAUCUUAAGAUCGUAAGUAUUAUGUACUUCCCUUCAUGUUAAACAAUAUAUGCCGUCAUACUUAACAUUGAUGUAACUCUUUUUGAUACAGGUCACUAUGAUUUUGUACGAGGUUCUUAGGUUAUACCCACCAGCAAUCGCGCUUGCUCGAAGUGUUCACAAAGAUGUGAUACUUGGAAACCUAGCAUUGCCAGCCGGAGUGCAGGUUUUCUUAUCGAUAAUUUUGGUUCACCAUGACAUAGAACUAUGGGGUGAUGAUGCUAAGGUGUUCAAUCCCGAGAGAUUUUCAGAAGGUGUUUUAAAAGCAACAAAUGGAAGAAAUUCAUUUUUUCCAUUUGGAGGGGGUCCUAGAAUUUGCAUUGGACAAAACUUUUCUAUGUUGGAAGCAAAGAUGGCAAUAGCAAUGAUUUUACAACGUUUCGACUUCGAACUUUCUCCAAGUUAUGCUCAUGCCCCGGCCACAGUAAUUACGCUUCAGCCACAAUAUGGUGCUCAUAUAAUUCUACGUAAAGUGGAAUUGUAAAAUUUAUAAUUUGCUUAUUCCACUAUUAGAAUGAUUGCAAUUAUUGAAAUAUAUAUCGUUUCCUUUUAUUAUUAUUCUUCUUUGAUGGUUGUUUAUUUUUCAUUAUGUCACCUUAAAUUAAGUUGUUGAUUAGUUGUAUUCUCUCCUAUAAAAGGAGCACCAUUCUUAUUGAAUAAAAUACUUUGAAGAAUAUAGAGUAAUUUCUACAUGGUAUUAGAGCCCCCGAUUUCGGGGGUCUUGCUUCCCGCAUAAACCCUAGCCGCCAUUAAUACGACAUCUUUUUUUUUUUUUUUUUUUUUUGGUUUUUGAUAUCCAGCAACACUGUUCAUCGAUACCGGCACUGUUCAUACGAGGUACUGUUCACGUCAUACUUUUUUUUUAUCAAAGCUAGAAAAAUUAAAUUGUAAAACAGAAGAUGCCUGAAUCGUUUACAACAAAAACUGGCCAACUAUGACCAUACUCAACUAAAACAAAUCUCAAUUAAAACAACAUAUAUGUAUAGAAGCAAAUCAACUGGCUAGACUAAGCUGCCAAAGUCCAAACAACUAGCUACUUGCACAUAUUAAGAAGCAUAUUUUGGAUUGUUUUUUAUUACACCCUUUUUGGAACGAGUUUGGAUGUGCUCACUACUUGUGAUGCCAUCCGAGCCUUUGCCUCUUGCAGAGCUGCUACUCUUUCUUGAUAUCCUGCUGGACUUAGGUUAGUGAAUAGCAUCUGGUUGUGCCAUCAAGAACUUCAGAGCCACAGGGUGCAUAUUCAUCAUUUCAGUGUCAGUGUCAAGGUCCAUAGUGCCAUCUGUCGUGUGGUCAGAAUCCACCACGUCCCUCCAAAAUUUGCUAAGAAUUUGGGCACUUUUCUUGGCUACAGUAGAAACAUUUUUAGAGCCACCAAUAGCAUGAAACCAAUAAAUCAACAUUCUCGAGUUCAACAUUUAAUGCCUCCUCUGGAACCUCAACAUUAUCUGUUGUUAACAAGGCAAAAGAGUUUUGCAAUUCGACCUCCGAAUCAGACUUAUAGGCAGGUUCUGACGGAUCAGAGGAGUGUAUAACAGGAACAAUGAUGCUAUGAACAGAAGAAGAUUGCAAUUCAAUAGGAAAAGUUUCAGCCAAAACAGGACGAGAUUGCUCUCGAUUAAACUCUACAACUUCAGAACGGAUGCCAACACCCACAUUCUGAGGUUGUGCAUUCUGCUUAUGUUGCAUCCAAGACGAAGAAUCAGCGCCUGGGAAUGAAUGCUUCUUACUGAUCAACUCUGCGCCAAUUCCUUGAAAAUUGGAACCAUGCUUUUUUUUUAUAACCCUGAAGAAAAUCCCGAUUCUUUUUUAUAAAAAAAAAAAAUAAUAAUUUUUUUUACCACAUGUGACGUGGCAUGACACGUGAUAGUGUCACGUAGACAGUCAAAUGUCACGUCAUGUUGACUAACAGAAGAAUUUGACGGAGGAGAUAAAUUGAUUAAUGUUAUACAAUUUAAAAUGAUAAUUGAAGUUUUGUUAAUGUUACGGAGGUAAUUGACGAAGCUUACAAUUUCAGAAAUUAAUUGUCUAUUUACUCUAGUAAGUAGUCUUAAAAGGACAAAUUCUUAUACACCCACCAAUAAAGAUAAGUAGAGUAGACUGUACUAAAUUGAUAUCAAUCAAAAUCAUUCAUUUAUCUUAUAAUACUGUAAUACUAUUUUUGUUGAUGAUAUAACAUCAAAUGUUUGAAAACUUAGUGUCCCACGACCAUAGAACCAACCACUUAAUAUACAAUCUCAAACAUUCAAUAUUAUGAAAGAUGCUUUAAGAAAAUCCAAAAAGAAUAAGCCAUUCCAAUAUGACUAAAUAAUUGGAAUAAAUUAUUCCGCAAUAGUGGCCUUAUAACAUAACUCAUUUGAUUGAGAUAUUGUAUUGUACUAUGUAAAAGUCGGAAUUUUACCCAUGAAAUCUUCGAUUAUUGACGGUGGAUUCUAAGUUUCUAACCAAUAAAAAAUAAUUCUGCGGCCGACUAAUUUUAAAAGAAAUCCAAAAAAAGUAUGUUAUUAGAUAAUUGUCUUUAUCUUAAAUAAAUGCAAAACCGACAAAAAGUCAUCAAUGACAUAUGGUGUGGACUUUGGACUGUAUUCAGUGCAGAACAACCAAAUUAAUUGAUCUUAUUGUAUUAAUCAUCUUCCCCUACUAAUUUCUUUCAUCCACCAAUUAUCACUCUACACAAAAAUGGCUACAAUUACAUCCAUAAUUCUCUUCACCUUGUUGACACUCUUUUUCAUAUUGGNUAAUUUCUUUCAUCCACCAAUUAUCACUCUACACAAAAAUGGCUACAAUUACAUCCAUAAUUCUCUUCACCUUGUUGACACUCUUUUUCAUAUUGGCAUGGAGGAUUUUGAAUUGGUUAUGGUUGAAGCCAAAGAAGCUAGAGAAAUUCCUAAGAGAACAAGGACUAAAAGGGAAUUCAUAUAGGCUUUUAGUUGGAGACAUGAAUGAUCUUCUUAAGAUGAGAAAGGAAGCAACAUCUAAACCUAUGAAUCUUUCUGAUGAUAUUGUUCCUCGUGUGUUUUCCUUUGUCCAACAAAGUGUUGCAAAACAUGGUAUGUCUCUCUUCUUACUCCUCUUUUUAAUUUCUAGUUUUACUAUAUUUAUAUAAUGAAGAAUAACAAUAAAGUACUAGUUUAGUUUCCCUCAACUAUACUAGUUAGUAAUAAAAAAAUCAAUUUGUAAAAUUCUAUAAAAAUAAUAGAAUUUUUUUUUUUUUUAGAUUAACAGUGAGGAGUGUAAAGUGAGGGAAGGUCUGACAAUAUUUUUACUUAAGUACAGACAAUCUCCAUCUCAUAAACCAACUUUGUAAGGAUGAUUUAAACUCAAUUUUAAAAUGGUAUUAGAGUCUAUGGAUUCGGGACACCCAACAUUUAUACACAAACCAAGCCCAAAAGUGAUGGAAGUGAGGGGUGUGUUGGGAAAAACUUAAAUCCCACAUUGAAAAGAUAAGAAUUAUGAUAAGAGUUUAUAAAAAGAGGCACCCCUCACCUUACAAGCCAGUUUAUAAGGUUGAGUUAGGGUCAAUAUCAAAAUAUAAAAUGGCAUUAGAGUUUCAAAAUCUAACAUGGUAUCAUAGUUUAUCAAUUCGCGCCACCCACCAUUUAUACACGCACCAAACCGAAUAGUGUUGUGUCGGGGCCAACCACAAUUUCUAACAUGGCAUCAGAGCCUCCAAAAGGUUUCCGCCAUCAAAUUACAAAUUGCAUUGCAUUCAACUAUCUACUAGUUGACAACCAUCCUAUUUCCUAAUUGACUUCCCUGUUAUUUCCAACUGAGUAAUUUUGUUGGUUACUCUCAUUGUAAUUCUCUGUAUCAGCUUCCACCACUUAAAGUUAAGGAGUGGAUCAAGAACCAAAUUUUUUGAUUAAAGCCAAUAUAAAUACCAACACAUAAAUUGCACUUACUGACUGAUACUAAACUGACAUUAUCAGGAUAUAAUUUCCUCUUAAAUUGAUAGCAUGUUUUUAUAAAAUAGUAUUCUGAUCCAAAUUUACUCCCUCCGGUCACAUUUAUAAGCAAAAAACAACUUUUUAGGUUCAUUCAAUAAUUAAUGUAUCUGACCUUUAUAUAGACUAGAUACAUUAGUUAUUCAAUAAACCUAAACAAUUUUUUUUGCUUAUAAAUGUGACCAGAAAGAAUGUAGUUAAUACUUAUUUCUUUGAAAUGAAUGACAUCGGUUUAUCAAACUUUGAUGUUAAUCAUUAAGAUUCAUAGUCUUCAUGAUUGUGAUUUUGAUCACUGAUCAUGCUGGGCAGUAGGCUCAAAACAUUACAACAUUGCUAUUCCUUCCAAUAUGUUACUAGCCUGAAUUAAAAUGAUAUUACUUCCUUGUUUGUUCAUGAGGUGUCAGUUCAGUGAAAAGAGUUUGAUUAUGUGGUCUAUUGCUUCGCUAUGGCGGGUUAUGACUUCACAAAUUGGCUAUGGCAUUCAUAAAAAAACCAGCCACACCAUUUGGCCAUCGCCGCCAUUUAACAACACUGUAUGUUUUACAAUACUAUCCUGCACCUUGUUCACUUUGGUGAUUUUUCAAAUUGGCAAUAAUACCUAAAUAUAUAAUAUAAACACUUAAAGUUCUGUAUUCAAAGAUUCCGGAAGCAAAUAGUACACUAUAAUAAGUUGCUAAUUCUCAUCAAUUCUUGAUAUUUAUAUACUUUUUUCAUAUCUUCGGCGUGCAGGAAAGAACUCUUUUAUCUGGUUUGGACCAACACCAAGGGUGAACAUAACAGAUCCUGAUAUGAUUAGAGAUGUAUUUAACAAAAUGUACGACUUCCAAAAGCCUAAUGCGAAUCCGCUUGGAAAGUUACUAGCUAAUGGCCUUGCAAGUCAUGAGGGAGAACAGUGGAGCAAGCACAGAAAGAUUAUCAACCCUGCAUUCCAUGUAGAAAAAUUGAAGGAAAGUUUCCCUUUACUAGAUAUAGAAUCCAAUUGUGUUUAUCUAGUCCGCAACAUAUAAUUGUUCAAGCAUCACAAUUAGGUUUAUAAGAAAACAUGAUUUGAAUUCUUAAUGCACAUGUGCUUAGUUUAACACCUCUUUGUCUCUUACAAACAGAUCAUGUUACCAAUAUACCUCAAAAGAUGCGAUGAUCUGAUUAGCAAAUGGGAGAAAAUGUUGGCUUCAGAUGGAUCAUGUGAAAUGGAAGUAUGGCCUUUCCUUCAAAAUUUAGCAAGAGAUGUUAUUUCUCGAGCUGCAUUUGGAAGUAGUUAUGAAGAGGGAAAAAGAAUAUUUCAACUUCAAACCGAACAAGCCAAACUUACAAUGUCAAUUAUGACAAAAGUUUACAUCCCUGGAUGGAGGUAAGAUUAAUAUUUAUAUCACAAGUUGAAUUAGAAAAAGCUAUAUUUUGGAUAAAACUAAGCACUAGAUUAUAGUGAUACAGUAAAUGGAAAUUUGGAUCCUCUAAAAUUAAGUUAAAAUAAAGUAAGAAAACCAAAAAAAAAUAUUUCAACGCAUGUCACAUGGUUUGUUAUACUUGUGCUUGUAAUAACAACCAUUGAUUAAUUAAUCAAUGGUUUAUAGUAUUGAAUACUCUAAAGUGAAUUGUUCACUUUGGAAGAGUAAGAUCAAAGAAAUAGCAUUCAAUUCAGAUCAUUUGAAUUACAUAAAAAUUAUGUUUAUUUUGAAGGUUUCUACCAACUACUACACAUAGGAGAAUGAAAGAAAUUGAAAGAGACGUAAAAGCAUCGCUUACAGAUAUAAUUAACAAGAGAGAAAGAGCACUAAAAGCAGGUAAAGCAACUAAGGAUGACUUAUUAGGUAUACUUUUAGAGUCAAAUCAAAAAGAAAUGGAAGAACAAGGCAACAAUAAGAAUGUUGGAAUGAGUCUUGAUGAUGUAAUAGAGGAAUGCAAGCUCUUCUACUUUGCAGGACAAGAGACCACUUCUGUUUUGCUUGUUUGGACAAUGGUGUUGUUGAGUAGGUAACCAGAUUGGCAAGAACGUGCAAGGGAAGAAGUAUUACAAGUAUUUGGCAACAAUAAACCAGAAUUUGACGGGCUAAGUCAUCUUAAGAUCGUAAGUAUUAUGUACUUCCCUUCAUGUUAAACAAUAUAUGCCGUCAUACUUAACAUUGAUGUAACUCUUUUUGAUACAGGUCACUAUGAUUUUGUACGAGGUUCUUAGGUUAUACCCACCAGAAAUCGCGCUUACUCGAAGUGAUCACAAAGAUAUGACACUUGGAAACCUAACAUUACCUGCAGGAGUGCAGGUUUUCUUAUCGAUAAUUUUGGUUCACCAUGACAUAGAACUAUGGGGUGAAGAUGCUAAGGUGUUCAAUCCCGAGAGAUUUUCAGAAGGUGUUUUAAAAGCAACAAAUGGAAGAAAUUCAUUUAUUCCAUUUGAAGGGGGUCCUAGAAUUUGAAUUGGACAAAACUUUUCCAUGUUGGAAGCAAAGAUGGCAAUAGCAAUGAUUUUACAACGUUUCUCAUUUGAACUUUCUCCAUCUUAUGCUCAUGCCCCGGCUACGGUAAUUACGCUUCAGCCACAAUAUGGUGCUCAUAUAAUUCUACGUAAAGUGGAAUUGUAAAAUUUAUAAUUUGCUUAUUCCACUAUUAGAAUGCUUGUAAUGAUGCUUAUAAAAAAAAUAAAAAAUCCUAUGAUGUAAAAUAGAAAGCUCAUAGUAUAAUAAAAGAAUAUUUGUUCUGAGAUAUCAACCCUUUAAGUGGAUCCCUAUACCUACCCUGCAGGAAGCCAUAUUGUUUAUGUACAGGUUGGAAAUUGGCAUGUAUGAUGUAAGUGUUCUUCCCAAACAAAAAGUUGUCUAUGCCAAGUUAAGUUCCACUCCCUUGAAAUAAUGUUUCCCUCCAUCAGUUCUCCCACACCAGCCUCUCGACUGUUCCCUACCCUUCUCAAAACCUACGGAUUAAACCAACCUUGCCCACCAAACAUAUCAAAAUUAACAAUAUUUUUCCACUACCUUGAUGUAUGUCUCGGCCACUCCACAUCUCCACCUCCAUCCACCUCAUCACUCCAAAACCAUAUUUCUCUAUUAGCGCAUCUUUCCAAAGAGCCCCUUCCCGUCCAAUAACAUUCAUCUCCAUUUAGCCAAUAAACUUACAUUAACCACCCGGAUAUCACUCACUCUAAGAUCUCCAUUCUCCUUCCUUUGACACACCGACUUCAAUUUGACCCAACUAAUUUUCCUACCUCCUCCCACACCACUCCAAAAAAACUCUCUUUGGAUCCUAACAAACUUUUUCCACACCGCUACAUGCAUCUUCAAAAAUAAUAAAAAGAAGAUAGGUAUUGAAUUCAAUACGGAAUUAAUAAGAACAACUCUACCUCGAAGACUGAUAUAUUUGUGCCCCCACGAAUUCAACUUUCGGUUUAGAAGAUCCAAUAUUGGUUUUCAUUGUUGUCAAAAUCCUGAUUUAAAUUCUAAAAUCUAGGAUUUUUCGACUUUCUUCGCCUUCAACGACUCAAAUCCAUAGUAGAAUCUCAAAAUAGACAAAAUCCAUCGAUUUUGAUUGCAAUUUUACGAUUUCUUAUAAACUAAGUCAUUUAUUACUAUAUACCAUUUAUAACAGGCUUAAAUGUGAAAAUAGUCCCUGCAAAUAUCUGACAUUUUGGUUUUAGUCCCUGUAAAAGUAUUUUUUUGAUUUUAGUCCCUGUAAAAACAAAAAUUUGGUUUUGGUCCUUGGUAUUUUGUUUUAGUCCUUGUAAAAUUGAUUCAUAUUGGAUUUGGUCCUUGUAAUAUGUAGAAUAUUUGAUUUUAGUCCCUCAAAAUGAGGACUAAAAUGAAUAUUAUAAGCACCAAUUUCAAUAUGAAAUGAUUUUACAAGGAUUAAAACAAAAUAACAAAGACCAAAACCAAAAAUUCUAUAUUUGCAGGGACUAAAACCAAAAAAAUAUUUUUACAGGGACUAAAACCAAAAUGUCAGAUAUUUGCCGGGACCAUUUCCAUAUUUAAGCCUUUAUAACAUAUAUUUAGUAUUAAUUUUUUGGGGUAAAAUCCAUCUAUUUUGAUUGCGAUUUUACAAUUUCCUAUAUCGAUUCUAUAAAAGUCCUUGAGUAAAAUCAUUCGAUUUUGAUUGCGAUUUUAUGAGUCCCGAUUUUUCUAUUGCUUUUCGACCUGAAGUAAUGUCCCGAUUUUGACAACCUUACCGGUUCCCACGUUAACAUACUCUUGCCUUUGCACCCACUGGUAACCAAAAGUACUUAAAAGGAAUACUACCUUGACUACAAUUCAAGAACGUGCACACCAUAUCCAUAAACUCCAACACUACAUUAACCCCUAUCAAACAACUCUUUGAAAAAUUGAUCUUCAACCCGGACGCCAUCUCAAAACCUUUCAAACGAGCUUUUAGAGUCCAAAGAUUGUUCAUUGUUGCCUUCCCAAUACAAAGAGUGUCAUCCGCAUACUGGAAAUGAGACACCUCUACAUUUUCACUAGAAAACUGAAAGUCUUCAAACAUGUUUAGAGAUACUACAUUCUGCAUCAACCCGCUAAAACCUUCCGCCACGAAUAAAAACAAAAAAGGUGCUAGCAGAUCUCCUUGUUUAAGCCCCUUUUCAAUACUAAUUUCGUCUGUUGGACUACCAUUAACAAGAAUUGACAUGCUCCCACCCACACACACCUUCGUCCAAGCCAUUCAUUUUGAACAAAAACCUACUCUCCUCAACAUAUACUCCAAAAAUCCCCAACCCACCGAGUCAUAAGCCUUCUCAAAAUCAACCUUUAGAAUCAAACAUUCUCGGUACAUUUUCUUAGCAUAAUCCACGAAUUCAAUUAGAGUUUAAUGAUUUCGUCGUGGUUUUAAAUUGCGGUUUCGGUCUUGGUCGUUGCAAUUGUGGACAGUAGGUUUCGGAUGCCGUUGCAGAGGCUAUCACAACGACGAUAUUGUGGCCGUAGUUGCGGAUGCCGUCCGAAAUUGUGGUUGUCGCUGCUCUCACCAGGAAUCUAACCAGAUGAUUUCCACCGGAAUGGGCAAACCUCAGUGAUUUUUGUUAAAUCCUAAGAAGGUAUUAUUUUGUAUGCUUUAUGUCUCGGUCAUUAUGUGCCAUCUUCACUCUCAUUUCUAUGCAUAUAAACACAGUGGCUUGAAUUAAUAUUUUUCUAAAGCAUAUAAUAAAGUAUUAAAAAGUUAGGUCAUAAUAUUAAUAGUGCUACUAAUAUGAAAUGUGAAACCAACAAAAUUCUUAGUCAAGGACAUGUGUCGUAACGUCAAAAGAAAAGGACAUGUGUCGUGGACUUUAUAAAGUGCAGCAUAUCAAAUCAAAUCAUACUUCUUUCCUUCUCACCGAAAUCUCUUCUUCUUUUAUCAUCUUCUCCUACUUUCUUUUUUCCACCAAUUAUUACUCUACACAGAAAUGGCUACAACUACAGCAAUAAUUCUCUUCACCUUGAUGACACUUUCUCUCAUAUGGGCAUGGAGAAUUUUGAAUUGGAUAUGGUUGAAGCCAAAAAAGCUAGAAAAAGAGCUCAGAGAACAAGGACUUAAAGGAAAUUCAUACAGACUUUUAGUUGGAGACAUAAAAGAUCUUCUUAAGAUAAGAAAGGAAGCAACAUCUAAACCUAUGAAUCUUUCUGAUGAUAUUGUGCCUCGAGUGUAUUCCUUUGUCCAACAAACUGUUGCAAAACAUGGUAUGUCCCUUUUUAUACAAACUCUCAUCUUUAUUAAUUAUUCAAUUUUUCAUUGAAAAAUCCCUUUAAUCAGGGCCGUUCCUAGAGUUUUGCAGGUCUUAGACAUAGUAUGAGAAAAUGGUCCCUUACAUAACAUAUUUUAAUUUUUUUUAGCUUGAUUUUAUCAGAUGUUCUUUUUGUUUUUUCCCCGCUUUUUACUACCAAAAAAGAAAAAAAAACAAAAAAUGAUGAGUGGGCCGCAUGAUCCUAAACCCCUUGUAGACUAAUAGUGCCACACUUAGGGGUUUGAGUAACUUGCAUGAUUUGAAUUAAGGGUAGAAGGAAUUGAAGGUUCGGGUUUAAACCUAAAGGAAGCAAUGAAUAUUAGUCUAUAACUAAUUAGUCAUAAAAAAAAAAAUGCUCCACUUAAUUAUUAUCAUCAUUAAUUGCUGGAAUUUAGAUAUAUUUGCGUGAUAAAGAGGGACAAUAGAUAACUAGUUUAGUGUCCUUCGAUUGUACUUCCUCUGGAUUCUGGAUUCUAUUAUAAGAUAAAGUUCAUUUUUUAGAUUUAUUUUAAUAAAUGAUGUAUUUAAUCCCUCUGGUUUCUAUUAUAAGAUAAAGUUCAUUUUUUAGAUUUAUUCAAUAAAUGAUGUAUUUAGUCCCUAAUAUAAAUUAAAUACAUCAUUUAUUAGAUAAACUUAAAAAGUUAACUUUCUCUUAAAAUAGAGAUCGAAGUAGUACCUGUUAGUAAUAAAAAAAAAAACAUUUUCUCAAGUUGUAUAAAAUUAGGAGAGAAUUCGCAAUACCUAAAUUAAUAGAAACGUUAGCCAAAUGUCAUGUGGUCACCCUUAAAAAUAUGUCAUGUGGGCAAAACAGUUUCUUAUUUUGUCAUUCUUUAUAAUGCAUAGAUUUAGACUUGGUCCUUAGAUUAAUCUCAUAGCUAUGAUUCAGCCAAGAGAUAGGAGGGUUAUGGAGGAUCCAGUUGCGCCUUGCGAGUAAGAGUUGCCAAACCAUAUUGCAGCCGUAGAGGAUCCAAACACCGAGGAUCAUAACAAUAGUUCAUACUUAUAGGACAACCAUCAGAGUAAUCUAACAUUAUUUUUCUUUUGGAUGUAAAAUCAUCUCAUUUUCCACUAAAUGUAUAAAGAAUACUUCUCUUGCAGAGGGAACAUACAGAAGAACUGACUUUGGAUUAUAUCCUAAUUCGUAACUAACUUCUUACCUAUGACUCUGGUUAUUCUCAUCAAUUCGCGAUGUUUAAUACUUUUUGCAUAUCCUUGGCAUGCAGGAAAGAACUCUUUUAUCUGGUUUGGACCAACACCAAGGGUGAACAUAACAGAUCCUGAGCAAAUUAAAGAUGUAAUUAACAAAAUUUACGACUUCCAAAAGCCUAAUGUGAACCCGCUUGUCAGGUUACUAGGUUGUGGUCUUGUAUGUCUUGAGGGAGAACAGUGGAGCAAGCACAGAAAGAUAAUAAAUCCUGCAUUCCAUUUAGAAAAAUUGAAGGUAAGUUUCCCUUUACUACGUAGAGAAUCCAAUUGUGCUUAUCUAGUCCGAAACAUAUAGUUUUGCAAGCAUCACAAGUUAGGUUUAUUAAAAAAAAAAAAACAUGCUUUGAAUUCUUAAUCUUAAACCUCUUUAGUUUAAGGAAUAAAAAUAUAAAAAAAAAAUAUAAAAAAUCUAACACCUCUUUGUCUCUUACAAAACAGAUCAUAUUACCAAUAUUCCACAAAAGUUGCGAUGAUUUGAUUAGCAAAUGGGAGAAAAUGUUGUCGUCAGAUGGAUCAUGUGAAAUGGACGUAUGGCCUUUCCUUCAAAAUUUGGCCAGUGAUCUUAUUUCUCGAGCAGCGUUUGGAAGUAGUUAUGAAGAGGGAAAAAGAAUAUUUCAACUUCAAACCGAACAAGCUGAACUUACAACAAAAAUUAUCGAGAAAGUUUAUAUCCCUGGAUGGAGGUGAGACUAAUUUUUAAAUUGCAAGUUAAAUAUGAAAAUGAUUCAUUUUGGAUAAACUAUUUAGAAAUAAGAACCAUCAUUAAGGAACAGUGUGUUAUAUAUUCUGUGCUGAUUCAUUAUUGAUUAUUCUAAUGGAAAGAUAGUACAAACUAAAGUAUGAAGACCAAAAGGUACUAUUUCAACACAUUCUUAGACACACAUGAUAGUUUAUACAUGUGCUUGUUAACUAUUAUUUAUGGAUCGAUGGUUUAGUAUUACUUUUUUUAUACACUAAAGUUAAUUGCUCGCUUUGGAGGAGUAAGAUCCGUGAAAUAACAUUCUCUACAUAUCACAUUAAUUAUGAGACUAAUCAUGUUUAUUUUGAAGGUUUCUACCAACUACUACCCCUAGGAGAAUGAAAGAAAUUGAAAGAGACGUAAGAGCUUCGCUUACAGAUAUGAUUAACACGAGAGAGAGAGCACUAAUGGCAGGUGAAGCAACAAAGGAUGAUUUGUUAGGUAUACUUUUAGAGUCAAAUCACAAAGAAAUGGAAGAACAUGACAACAAUAAGAAUGUUGGAAUGAGUCUUGACGAUGUAAUAGAGGAAUGCAAGCUAUUCUACUUUGCAGGUGCAGAGACAACUUCUGUUUUGCUUGUUUGGACAAUAGUGUUGUUGAGUAGGUACCCUGAUUGGCAAGCACGUGCAAGGGAGGAAGUAUUACAAGUAUUUGGCAACAAUAAACCCGAUUUUGAUGGGCUAAGUCAUCUUAAGAUUGUAAGUAUUGUGUUCUUCCCUUCAUAUUAAACUAUAUAUAACUUCAUACUUACGAUUGACAUAACCUUUUUUGAGACAGGUCACGAUGAUUUUGUACGAGGUUCUUAGGUUAUACCCACCAGUAAUCGAACUUGCUCGAAGUGUUCACAAAGAUGUGAAACUUGGAAACCUAACAUUACCUGCCGGAGUGCAAAUUACCUUACCGAUAGUUUUAGUUCACCAUGACUCCGAACUAUGGGGUGACGAUGCUAAGGUGUUCAAUCCUGAGAGAUUUUCUGAAGGUGUUUUGAAAGCAACAAAUGGAAGAAAUUCAUUUGUUCCAUUUGGAGGGGGUCCUAGAAUUUGCAUUGGACAGAACUUUUCUAUGUUGGAAGCAAAGAUGGCGAUAGCAAUGAUUUUACAACGUUUCUCAUUCGAACUUUCUCCAUCUUAUGCUCAUGCCCCGACUGCAUUAAUUACCCUUCAACCACAAUACGGUGCUCAUAUAAUUCUACGUAAAGUGGAAUUGUAAAAUUUAUAAUUUGCCUAUUCCAC
rnacentral:lncRNA from 1 species